GAUGAACGCUGGCGGCGUGCCUAAUACAUGCAAGUCGAGCGAACAGACGAGGAGCUUGCUCCUCUGACGUUAGCGGCGGACGGGUGAGUAACACGUGGAUAACCUACCUAUAAGACUGGGAUAACUUCGGGAAACCGGAGCUAAUACCGGAUAAUAUAUUGAACCGCAUGGUUCAAUAGUGAAAGACGGUUUUGCUGUCACUUAUAGAUGGAUCCGCGCCGCAUUAGCUAGUUGGUAAGGUAACGGCUUACCAAGGCAACGAUGAGUAGCCGACCUGAGAGGGUGAUCGGGCACACUGGAACUGAGACACGGUCCCGACUCCUACGGGAGGCAGCAGUAGGGAAUCUUCCGCAAUGGGCGAAAGACUGACGGAGCAACGCCGCGUGAGUGAUGAAGGUCUUCGGAUCGUAAAACUCUGUUAUUAGGGAAGAAAAAAUGUGUAAGUAACUAUGCACGUCUUGACGGUACCUAAUCAGAAAGCCACGGCUAACUACGUG
rnacentral:rRNA from 1 species